UCCAUCACAUUCGACCAGCACGGAGAGCGGACGAGAACCUCACCUGCCCCGCUGUGUCCAGUAUCUCCAUGGUGACAACCUCAUCAUCAAUAUUGGCUUGAUGGCGAUAGGUGGAUUCUGUAUGGCACAAAACGGUGCAGGUCAGGCUAUCUGCUCCAAUUGUAAAGCCACAUCUGUAUAAACAGAAUCCCCCGAUGUUCCGAGAUUUGCCGUUAAAUAAUCUCAGCUGGGGGGAAUUUGGACAGUGUUUUUCUUUUUUGUGAUUCUACUCUCACUUUUGUUGUCUUUAGCGGCUGUAGUGCGUCACGCAAUCGGUAUUGGUACAAAGACAAUCAUUUCCGUCUAAUCCUUUAUUUUUUUUUAUUUUAAGGUUCAGACAGAGAAUAGCAAGUUCGCUCGCUUGUUUUCGGGUUUGGCCGUACGAUGGGAAGUUGAGUGAGUUCAGCGGAAAGUUUCAUUAGCAGUUAACACGGCAACAUUAUUUCGGAGUACUGGCAGCGAAGGCACUUAAAUAAAAUGCUAUAAUCGUCCAGGCCGCGCGUUUAACGAUGAUGAUGUUACUUGCUUUGCGUGCGCUCGUGGCACUCAACAUGCGGCCAUUUACUGACAGGCAUGUUUGGACAACCUCCAAAGUGCUCUUAUUGCCAUUACGCUCCUCAACCUUGUCUUGUGGUAACCAAGGAAGCACUUAAAGUCUACACUGGAGCUCCUUUUGGUGACUUGAGUAGAAGACUGGAAAAUUCCAACAAUUGAUUGAUAAUUAAAGUUGAUUUGAUUUCCCUUCUCGUAGCCAUCUCUUACCGAGGGUUGGGUCGUACUCCCAGAUGAAGCGUCGAGUCAAAAACCUCACCACCAACGCUGCAACAAAAACAACAGUCCUCGCACAACAUUAGGCAUGCACUCUCCACAGGAGCCAUCAUGUGCCUGAGUGACUUCUAAAGAACCCCGAGAGGUCCACUUGACUCCACGCAUCCAGGGCAGGGAGGGGCUGAGCAAAGAUGCGCCUCGAAAGGUUUCUCGAGGGUUCGACAAUCCCUAUUUUCACGUUCCGGUUCAAAACGACGCCGUCAUUCCACGUGGGGUCUCAUUAGCAGGUGUGCCUAAUAUUAUGGCUGGCGCGCGUGUGUUCCACUGGCCUGGAUUCCAGCGAGGCAGAACAAGCUUCGGCUCCUCAUUAGACGUAACGUGAGCUCCCCCCCCCAAGGGAAUAAAUGUAUAGGCGUGGAAAAGAGGAGCCUUUGUUAAUAUGAACGUGGUGGCCCAGAUUCCCGAAAGGAUCACGCCGGGGUAACAAGUGCACGCUAUCGCUAGUCCGAUCCCAUCACAAGAA